rnacentral:lncRNA from 1 species
ACGGUAAUAGAUUCAUGAAAUUCAUUAAUAUGCAAAUUUUAAUCUUAAGAGAAAUUACAAAACUAAACGAAACCAUAAAUAAACAAAUUAAAAGAAAGCUAAACCAGCAACAGUGAGGGAGCUCUGGUGGGAAAAGUUUCUCAAAAAAAGCCAAAUCUUUCCCCAACCAAAAUACGAAACCCGCGAACAAAGGCCUUCCAAAAAUCAUUCGUAAACACGACGUGGACGUACGAAGCACAAACUCGACAUUUAAAACAAAUAAACUCACUUUCACUUUAUAUAUUUUCUUAAUUUUCCAUCAUAUAUUUUUGUAAUUAACUUUGUUGGGUGGUGUCAAUGAACAUAUAUUCUCUGCUCACUUUCACACUUAAAAAGACUAAAAACUUCUUUCUAUUCUCUAAAUAUUCUUAAUAAGUAUAGUGAUGAAAUUGAGAACUAAGCAUUUUGUUAUUACAAAGAUUCAAGUAAUACAUAAGCUAACAAUUUUCAUUAAAAAAAAAAUCUAAACUUUUUAAAUUAAUAGUUUAAAUUUAGAAACUUGAUAAAACAUUAUUUAAAAUAUAACUGAUAUAAAAAAAUAUACAUUUUUAAGUUGAAUUAAUUAUUUGUAUAAACAAAUUCUAGUGAUAAUACCUAACAUAUGAAAUUUGAACUUAUUAUAUACUAUCAAAUGAAUUUUAAUAAGAAUCAAUAAAAUCAAAUAAUUACAAAUAGCCACACCUAUUUCAACUUUUUUUUU